CAGAAAUAGGGGAAUAUGCCAAUCAGGUAGAAAAUCUCAAGGAGGAAUUAGCAAGCAAAUUAGUGGAUGGGCAAAGAUUGCUGGGAGAGAAAGAUGGUUUGCUUGUGCAGAUAAAUGACCUGGAACUGGUGGUGGAGUCUCUGCGUAGCCACAAAAGUGAAUUGGAAGGGCAUAUAAAUAGUAAAGUUGAUGAGAGCAACCGGUUAAGUGAGGAAAACAAGCAUUUGCAGAGCAAGAUUUCUGAAUUGGAGAGAGUAUUGACAGAAAGGAUGGAUGAGCUCUUUGCCAUCCAAAAGAUAUUGGAUGAUGCAAAUGUUGAAGCUUCCACCCAAAUCGAUGCACUGAAUGAGCAGGUUAAAAAUUUGAGACAGGAGAGGGACUCCUUACAGUCUGAGAAAAGCCAACUGGAAUUACAAAUGGAGAGGAGAAUAGAAGAUUUUUCAGCAAAUUUGGCUCAAGCAGAGGAUCAGAAUUCUGAAUUACAGAAGAGGUUGGAAGAUGGAGAGAUUGAAGCAUCUGCUCGAUUUGCAGCCUUAACUGAACAAGUUAACAAUCUCCAAGAGCAGUUGAAUUCUUUGUCUGCUCUAAAAAUUGAAUCUGAUGCCCUGCUUGAGAAGAAAACUGCAGAAAUAGUGGAAUAUGCCAAUCAGGUAGAAAAUCUCAAGGAGGAAUUAGCAAGCAAAUUAGUGGAUGGGCAAAGAUUGCUGGGAGAGAAAGAUGGUUUGCUUGUGCAGAUAAAUGACCUGGAACUGGUGGUGGAGUCUCUGCGUAACCACAAAAGUGAAUUGGAAGGGCAUAUAAAUAGUAAAGUUGAUGAGAGCAACCGGUUAAGUGAGGAAAACAAGCAUUUGCAGAGCAAGAUUUCUGAAUUGGAGAGAGUAUUGACAGAAAGGAUGGAUGAGCUCUCUGCCAUCCAAAAGAUAUUGGAUGAUGCAAAUGUUGAAGCUUCCACCCAAAUCGAUGCACUGAAUGAGCAGGUUAAAAUUUGAGACAGGAGAGGGACUCCUUACAGUCUGGAAAAGCCAACUGGAAUUACAAAUGGAGAGGAGAAUAGAAGAUUUUUCAGCAAAUUUGGCUCAAGCAGAGGAUCAGAAUUCUGAAUUACAGAAGAGGUUGGAAGAUGGAGAGAUUGAAGCAUCUGCUCGAUUAGCAGCCUUAACUGAACAAGUUAACAAUCUCCAAGAGCAGUUGAAUUCUUUGUCUGCUCUAAAAAUUGAAUCUGAUGCCCUGCUUGAGAAGAAAACUGCAGAAAUAGUGGAAUAUGCCAAUCAGGUAGAAAAUCUCAAGGAGGAAUUAGCAAGCAAAUUAGUGGAUGGGCAAAGAUUGCUGGGAGAGAAGAUGGUUUGCUUGUGCAGAUAAAUGACCUGGAACUGGUGGUGGAGUCUCUGCGUAACCACAAAAGUGAAUUGGAAGGGCAUAUAAAUAGUAAAGUUGAUGAGAGCAACCGGUUAAGUGAGGAAAACAAGCAUUUGCAGAGCAAGAUUUCUGAAUUGGAGAAGUAUUGACAGAAAGGAUGGAU
rnacentral:lncRNA from 1 species